GCCUAGGUGGCUCAGAGGUUGAGCAUCUGCCUUUGGCUCAGGUACUGAUCCCAGGUCCUGGGAUCGAGUCCCACAUUGGGCU
rnacentral:tRNA from 1 species